rnacentral:rRNA from 1 species
UAAUAGAGUACCCGGGUAGUCCACGCCCUAAACGAUGCGAACUGGAUGUUGGGUACAUUACGGUACUCAGUGUCGAAGCUAACGCGUUAAGUUCGCCGCCUGGGGAGUACGGUCGCAAGACUGAAACUCAAAGGAAUUGACGGGGGCCCGCACAAGCGGUGGAGUAUGUGGUUUAAUUCGAUGCAACGCGAAGAACCUUACCUGGCCUUGACAUCUGUCGAAUCCUGCAGAGAUGCGGGAGUGCCGCAAGGAACGACAAGACAGGUGCUGCAUGGCUGUCGUCAGCUCGUGUCGUGAGAUGUUGGGUUAAGUCCCGCAACGAGCGCAACCCUUGUCCUUAGUUGCCAGCACGUAAUGGUGGGAACUCUAAGGAGACUGCCGGUGACAAACCGGAGGAAGGUGGGGAUGACGUCAAGUCCUCAUGGCCCUUACGGCCAGGGCUACACACGUACUACAAUGGUCGGUACAGAGGGUUGCGAAGCCGCGAGGUGGAGCCAAUCCCAGAAAACCGAUCCCAGUCCGGAUUGGAGUCUGCAACUCG